rfam:Frankia sp. EAN1pec, complete genome.
CCGGACCGAACGCCGAAUCCUGCCCGCGGUCCUGGUGUCCCCUCCGAGUCGUCACCACGGGCAGGAGCGGGGGACCCACCUCCACCGGCUGGCGCCACGACACGGCGCUGGCCUAGGGGUGAAGUCCAUCGCGUGAAGGUCGCGCUAUGGACCGGGCAGCCCAGCCCGAACCCGACAGCUCACCUCGCAGGCGUACGGGAAGGAACG